UCCCUGACCGCGUAUGAAAGUACGUUUUCACCUCGGGUGACAGGGAGACAGGUGGUGCAUGGUUGUCGUCAGCUCGUGUCGUGAGAUGUUGGGUUAAGUCCCGCAACGAGCGCAACCCCUACGUUUAGUUGCUAACGCGUGAAGGCGAGCACUCUAGACGAACUGCCGUUGACAAACGGAGGAAGGUGGGGAUGACGUCAAAUCAUCAUGCCCCUUAUGUUCUGGGCUACACACGUGCUACAAUGGCCGGUACAGACGGACGCAAAGCCGCGAGGUGGAGCAAAUCCUAAAAAGCCGGUCUCAGUUCGGAUUGCAGGCUGCAAUUCGCCUGCAUGAAGUCGGAAUCGCUAGUAAUCGCAGGUCAGCAUACUGCGGUGAAUACGUUCCCGGGCCUU
rnacentral:rRNA from 1 species